UAGGGAAUCUUCGGCAAUGGGGGGAACCCUGACCGAGCAACGCCGCGUGAGUGAAGAAGGUUUUCGGAUCGUAAAGCUCUGUUGUUAAGGAAGAACGAGUGUGAGAAUGGAAAGUUCAUACUGUGACGGUACUUAACCAGAAAGGGACGGCUAACUACGUGCCAGCAGCCGCGGUAAUACGUAGGUCCCGAGCGUUGUCCGGAUUUAUUGGGCGUAAAGCGAGCGCAGGCGGUUAGAUAAGUCUGAAGUUAAAGGCAGUGGCUCAACCAUUGUAGGCUUUGGAGACUGUUUAACUUGAGUGCAGAAGGGGGAAGUGGAAUUCCAUGUGUGGCGGUGAAAUGCGUAGAUAUAUGGAGGAACACCAGUGGCGAAGGCGACUCUCUGGUCUGUAACUGACGCUGAGGCUCGAAAGCGUGGGGAGCGAACAGG
rnacentral:rRNA from 1 species